rnacentral:rRNA from 1 species
UCCUACGGGAGGCAGCAGUAGGGAAUUUUCCACAAUGGGCGAAAGCCUGAUGGAGCAACGCCGCGUGCAGGAGGAAGGCCUUCGGGUUGUAAACUGCUUUUAUCUGUGACGAUUUUGACGGUAGCAGAUGAAUAAGGAUCGGCUAACUCCGUGCCAGCAGCCGCGGUCAUACGGAGGAUCCAAGCGUUAUCCGGAAUUACUGGGCGUAAAGAGUUGCGUAGGUGGCAUAGUAAGCAAGCAGUGAAAGGUCACGGCUCAACCGUGGAUACAUUGUUUGAACUGCUAAGCUUGAGCAUGAGAGAGGUAGCUGGAAUUCCUAGUGCAGGAGUGAAAUCCGUAGAUAUUAGGAGGAACACCGAUGGCGUAGGCAGGCUACUGGCUCAUUGCUGACACUAAGGCACGAAAGCGUGGGGAGCGAACGGGAUUAGAUACCCCGGUAGUCCACGCCGUAAACGAUGGAUGCUAGCUGUUAUCGGUAUCGACUCCAGUAGUAGCGAAGCUAACGCGUUAAGCAUCCCGCCUGUGGAGUACAGUCGCAAGACUAAAACAUAAAGGAAUUGACGGGGACCCGCACAAGCGGUGGAGUGUGUUGUUUAAUUCGAUGAUAAGCGAAGAACCUUACCAAGGUUUGACAUCCUGCGAAGGUCUCCGAAAGGAGACUGUGCUUUUAGAACGCAGUGACAGGUGAUGCAUGGCCGUCGUCAGCUCGUGUCGUGAGAUGUUUGGUUAAGUCCAUCAACGAGCGCAACCCUUAUAGUUAGUUGAAUUUCUCUAGCUAGACUGCCCCGGUAACGGGGAGGAAGGAGGGGAUGAUGUCAGGUCAGUAUUUCCCUUAUACCUUGGGCGACAAACACACUACAAUGGCCGGUACAAAGGGCAGCCAACCCGCGAGGGGGAGCAAAUCCCAUCAAAGCCGGUCUCAGUUCGGAUUGCAGGCUGAAACUCGCCUGCAUGAAGCUGGAAUCGCUAGUAACGGUAGGUCAGCAUACUACCGUGAAUACGUUCCCGGGCCUUGUACACACCGCCAU